rnacentral:rRNA from 1 species
CGGGUGACGAGCGGCGAACGGCUGAGUAACACGUUGGUACCUACCCCAGACUCAGGGAUAACCCACCGAAAGGUGAGCUAAUACCGGAUAGUCUCGUAAGAGUAAAGCUUUUGCGGUCUGGGAGGGGCCUGCGGCCUAUCAGGUAGUUGGUAAGGUAAAAGCUUACCAAGCCUAUGACGGGUAGCUGGUGUGAGAGCAUGACCAGCCAGAAUGGGACUGAGACACGGCCCAUACUCC